AAAAGGAUUGGCUCUAAGGAUUGGGUACGUCGGGGUGUUUCUUGCAGCAGUGGACUUUGGGCGGCACUACUGGGGGCAACCCUGGCGGAGCUGCCUGAGGACUGCUGUGAACGGCUUCAUCUGCCUCACGGCGUCCGGCGUACGAUUAACAAUCAACUUAGAACUGGUACGGACAAGGGGAAUCUGACUGUCUAAUUAAAACAUAGCAUUGCGAUGGCCAGAAAGUGGUGUUGACGCAAUGUGAUUUCUGCCCA
rnacentral:rRNA from 1 species